AGAUAUAUAUAUAUAUAUAUAUAUAUAUAUAUAUUGUUGGGACCAAUUUUGAGGGAUACUCAUAUAAGGGUUAAAAAGAGAUUUUUAUUUUAUGUUAUGGGCAAAUUUAAAGAAUUUUAGUUAGUUAAUAUUAGCAUAGGAAGUUUCUAGCAUUUCAUGGUCCUAUUUUGAUGGCAAAUGUUAGCUAAGUUAUAAAGAGGAGAUGGGUAGGGGGAUUUUGAUCACGUGAGGGUUGGAGAUUUUCUUGAAAAGAGGAUCUAGGGGAGAGAAGAUACGGAAAGUGGGAAAAGUGGUCAACGUGAGGGGAAAGAGAUUUUUGCAUUCUUGGGAUAGAUUUAUGAGUUAUGGGUUACUGAUAUCAAGAGAGAGAGAGAGUAAUUGGGUUUUUUAGUUUUUUUUUUGUCUUAUAUUAAAAAGGAAAACUCAGUAGAGACUUAGGCUUGGAAAUUUUUGUUGAGACUUUUAUAAAUGAAUAAAAGAGUGUAUUCUUCCCAUGGUUUAAAUUACGGCCACUUUUUGCUCUCCAUCAUUGUUGUUUUGCUUGUUUAAGAUCGAAAUGUUGGAUUUAAUUUCUUGGGCUCUUUUUGCAUCAGCUUAGUAAUCCUUUAUAUUCAUAUUCACCAACGUGGUACAAGUUUUUGGCCUAGAGCAAUUUGGCUGGUGAGCUUGUCAACCUUAAUGGAAGGCACAUUUGAUGCAGAGGACCAUAACCAUUUCAAUAUCACUUUUUUUUUUUUGUUUGUUUGUUCUUUUUUUGGUAACUUUCUUCUCAGUGGUACAUUUCACCAUACAACUUAUUGUCCACCCUUGAUCGAAAAGGUGUUUCUAUCAUUACUGGAAGCAAAUGGUCG
rnacentral:lncRNA from 1 species